UACGGGGGGGGCAAGCGUUGUUCGGAAUUACUGGGCGUAAAGGGCGCGUAGGCGGCCUGCUAAGUCGGACGUGAAAUCCCUCGGCUCAACCGGGGAACUGCGUCCGAUACUGGCGGGCUUGAAUUCGGGAGAGGGAUGUGGAAUUCCAGGUGUAGCGGUGAAAUGCGUAGAUAUCUGGAGGAACACCGGUGGCGAAGGCGGCAUCCUGGACCGACAUUGACGCUGAGGCGCGAAAGCCAGGGGAGCAAACGGG
rnacentral:rRNA from 1 species